rnacentral:rRNA from 1 species
GCCAAUGCUAGCCCUAAGCAUAACCAACACUAAUACCAAACCAACAUACACUAAACCAUUCACCUACACAAAGUAUAGGCGAUAGAAAUUUUAAUCUGGCGCUAUAGACAUAGUACCGUAAGGGAAAGAUAGAAAACCACCCAAGCACAAAACAGCAAAGACUAACUCCUGUACCUUUCGCAUAAUGAAUUAGCUAGAAACAAUUUUACGAAGAGGACUACAAGCCAAAUCCCCCGAAACCAGACGAGCUACCCAAAAACAGCUAAAAGAGCGCACCCGCCUAUGUGGCAAAAUAGUGGGAAGAUUUCUGGGUAGAGGUGACAAGCCUACCGAGCCUGGUGAUAGCUGGUUAUCCAAGACAGAAUCUUAGUUCAACCUUAAGCUUACCUAUAGAACUACCUAAUCCCCCUGUAAGCUUAACUGCUAGUCUAAAGAGGGACAGCUCUUUAGACACUAGGAAAAAACCUUACGGAGAGAGUAAAACCCUCAAUCACCAUAGUUGGCUUAAAAGCAGCCAUCAAUUAAGAAAGCGUUCAAGCUCAACACUAACCACCACAAAAAUACCAAACACAUAACUGAACUCCUCACACCACAUUGGAUUAAUCUAUCACCAUAUAGAAGCAACAAUGCUAGUAUAAGUAACAUGAAUAUUUUCUCCACUGCAUAAGCCUAAAUCGGACCGAAAGCCUCACCGAUAUUUAACAGCCAGGCAUAACAAGCACAAACAAGCCCAUGCCACCUUCACUGUUAACCCAACACAGGCAUGCCCCAAGGAAAGGUUAAAAAAAGUAAAAGGAACUCGGCAAACCCAAACCCCGCCUGUUUACCAAAAACAUCACCUCUAGCAUUACUAGUAUUAGAGGCACUGCCUGCCCAGUGACACACGUUUAACGGCCG